GGUCCGAAGGAAGGUGGUUUUUAAUUGGUUCCGUUCGCUGACCUGGCCAAUUUAAUUGGUGUCUAAGGAAAGCAACGGGGGGACUCCCACCUACCUUACACUUAUCUGGCCAGUUGGUUGGUCAAGCUCCGACUUGGAGGGCUUGAAGGCUAACUACAGUUAGGAGCUAUCUAGAACUAGGAUAACUUUAAGAUAGAGAGUCCACUGCGUGCUAACUUGAUUGUAAUUAAAAUCUAACCACAACUAAUUCUUCUAUUAGUUUUAGGACUUCUUAGGAUCUCUUCUUUAGAACUCUUUUCUCUCUUCUCUUCUCCUCUUAAUAAAAAAAAAAAUAAUCCUUAACAGACUAGGAU
rnacentral:lncRNA from 1 species